rnacentral:rRNA from 1 species
AGAAUCAACGCUGGCGGCGUGCCUCAGACAUGCAAGUCGAACGCGAAAGUCCCCUUCGGGGGACAAGUAGAGUGGCGCACGGGUGAGUAACACGUAGGUAAUCUACCUUCGGAUGGGGAAUAACAACCGGAAACGGUUGCUAAUACCGCAUAAUGCAGCGGCACCUAAUGGUGACAGUUGUUAAAGCGGGGGAUCGUAAGACCUCGCGUCUGAAGAGGAGCCUGCGGCGGAUUAGCUAGUUGGUAGGGUAACGGCCUACCAAGGCGACGAUCCGUAGCCGGCCUGAGACGGGCGUCGGGCCACGACGU